rnacentral:rRNA from 1 species
UACGAAGGGUGCAAGCGUUACUCGGAAUUACUGGGCGUAAAGCGUGCGUAGGUGGUUCGUUAAGUCUGUCGUGAAAGCCCCGGGCUCAACCUGGGAAUUGCAUUCGAGACUGCAUUGCUGGAGUACGGAAGAGGAAGGCGGAAUUCCCGGUGUAGCGGUGAAAUGCGUAGAUAUCGGGAGGAACAUCAGUGGCGAAGGCGGCCUUCUGGUCCAGUACUGACACUCAAGUGCGAAAGCGUGGGGAGCAAACAGG